rnacentral:rRNA from 1 species
AUGCUGUGCAUGAUUAGGUAUCAAGAGAACCCUCUCGAAGAUGCACGUGAAGACGGACAAGCCGCCAAGUCCACGGAUGAAAAGGAACGUCGAAAGGAGAAGAAGGCAGCUCCAGGACCCAGACAUCCGACCCCAGCCCCGGACAUCCGGCCGCUGGAGACAUCCACUACAGCAACAAUCCAGCAACCGAAGCUACAGGACCCGGACAUGCGACCCCAGCCUCGGACAUCCGGCCCCGCACCAGCCCGGACAUCCGGCCUCUGCCCGGAAAUCCGGCGCCCGUCACAGAACAUACCCGAAGCUGAACCACUUCAGCCCGGACAUCCAGCUCUUCGCGAAGGCCCGGACAUCCGGCCCGUCGCCCGGACAUCCGGCCCCGUCUGUCUGCGCACAGUAAAGGGCCGAGGCCCAUGUACCCUUUCGCCCCCUAGACUAUAUAUACUCCUCCUCCUCCCUCUUCCUAGGGUUAGCAUUAGUUUAGCUCAUAUGUGA